rnacentral:rRNA from 1 species
CCUACGGGAGGCAGCAGUAGGGAAUAUUGGUCAAUGGAGGAGACUCUGAACCAGCCAUGCCGCGUGCAGGAAGACGGCCUUCUGGGUUGUAAACUGCUUUUGACAGGGAAGAAAACGGCCAUGCGUGGCUAACUGACGGUACCUGUAGAAUAAGCACCGGCUAACUCCGUGCCAGCAGCCGCGGUAAUACGGAGGGUGCAAGCGUUGUCCGGAUUUAUUGGGUUUAAAGGGUACGUAGGUGGCCUUAUAAGUCAGUGGUGAAAUGCUGCAGCUUAACUGUAGCACUGCCAUUGAUACUGUAAGGCUUGAGUAUCGUUGAGGCAGGCGGAAUUUAUGGUGUAGCGGUGAAAUGCAUAGAUACCAUAAAGAACACCGAUAGCGAAGGCAGCUUGCUAAGCGAUAACUGACACUAAUGUACGAAAGCGUGGGUAGCGAACAGGAUUAGAUACCCUGGUAGUCCACGCCGUAAACGAUGCUCACUCGAUGUAUGCGAUAUACUGUAUGCGUCCAAGCGAAAGCGUAAGUAGC